UAUUUAUUAAAAUGUGCAAGGGGAGAAAACAGGAAGGUUCAGGCUGAUGGGGUGAAGAAGCAGCACGGUCCCUGGAAGGCAGCCAGAAAUGGGUGAGCUUUUGGAGGGCCUUCUUGUUCAGAGGGGCAGGGGAUGAAGAGCCACAGGCUGGGGUCAGUCCUCAGGUGAGGGAUUACACCCACAUAGGGGAGCUUAGCAUUUAAUACAGAAAUAGGAAGGAUAACCUCGGCUUCCUGAAUUUUACAGGGAACUUUAGUAUGGACUGGGGGAAAGUGACAUCUAGUGUUAGCUGAAAAUAAUCCAAAGUCGACUAUUCAAAACUACAGUCAUGACAACAUGCGGUAACCAGCUGGACAACAAUGACAAGUACACACCAGUUCAAGGUCCAUUUUCCAUUAAAUCCUGAGUGCAUUUUUCCUCCAAAAGCAUGUUUUCCACCUUCCUUGUUGUGUCUCACUCAACAAAAAUACCUCUAGAACUAAUUAAAGAGUGAGUUUCUGAGGGAUUUGGAAUCAGAUACAAAGUGACCUUCGGAACCCAAGCACACAUUCCACAGGUGAGAAGCCAGAGCCAGAGAGGAUGGUGGUUCCCGAAGCCGGGGUUCUCUGAGUUCCCUGGAACCCUGAUCUCCCUCCUUCCUUCUCCAUUUCCACGAGCACCUGCCUGUGUCCGCCCCAUGCCCAGCAGCGCAGGAGCUAGGGGUGCGCAGCAGAGCCUGAGAGCAGCUCCUCUUUGGGGUCCCUCGUGUGCCUGCUGUCACAUGCUACAUGAGCUAACAGGAAAGCCAGAAAAUCACACUGCUUAGUAAGUCUAUCCUGAAUAUACCCAUUUAGUAAAUAGGAGGCCUGCGAUGCAAACACACCCUCUGUCACCGAGAACUGCAAUGCCAGCCCCUCUGCCAACUCACUCAGAGCCUCAUGGGGUAUCUUGAGAAGCAGAUCUAAAUUAAAACUGAAGCUUAAAUGCCUUGUCUACAGUCAUCAUCCAUAAAGAUAUCCAGAGACAAGAAGCUGUUGCUCCACAUACACCAUUCAGAAAACAAGGCAAUUUUAACAUCCCAUGUUGGAAAAAAACAAAAACAAAAACAAGGCACACUUUUCUUAAUUGGACCUCAUUCAAAUAUUUACUGGGGAACAUGUCUCCAUGUCUCCUGGUAAAGUCAGGUAACUGCCUGCUUUGUAAUGCAUGGAUUUUGCUUAUGAUGUCAUAGACGUCAAUAGAAAUUCUACAGUUGAAAUUAAAGAUGAGUCAGCAAGGAUGAGAAACAUAACCAAAGCAUAGAAGGAAUGGGGAACCUUCUUAGGAGCUCAGAUGCUUCAUUCAUCUCAUGCAGCAAUUCACAUCUGUAAACAGAUGAUUAGGUGGUGCCCUUACCCCACAUGCACCUUUAAAAUGACCUAACGUGCUUUCCCCCUUCAGUGGGCAAGCUCAUCACAUAAAUGGGCAUGUUCCCGGCUCAUGCCAAUAAUUCUUCCAGCGCCCCAGACUGAAGAAGUGUUGUCAUUUAAAAGCAGCAAAUGUGCUGUAAACAUCAACCAAUAGUAGUCUUUGAAGCUACAAGCAAGACACACUUCGCACAUUGUACUGAGGUUGUCUGCCAGUGGGAUUUUACCCCUCAAAUCCAGUAAAGGGAAGCCCGGGCGCCUCAAAACCAAACCUUGGAAGACGCUGGAGGAGCAAAGCCUGCAAGUUUCCAUCCACAGCCUCGAAGCCAUGGGUUCUCCCCGGCCCUCUGAAGCCGCCACACCUGUGCCAGCCGGCCGCGUCCUCAGACCUUUCCCCGCGGAGUCUUCCCAGCACUUGGAGACGCAGCGCAGGGCCCCGAGGACGGCCUGGCCCGGAGAAAAGAUACCGAAGCUCCAACUUUCCCCAACCCCGCUCCCCUCCUCCUUCCACCCUCCCUUCCCGCCCCCAAAGCUCGGGGGUCCUAUCCCUCCUCCGGUCCGCGGAGUCUCCCGAACCCUGCGGGGACCCGGCGCUCGGCGGUGCCCUCCUGGGGCGCACGGGGCUGGGGCGGGAGCGAGGAGACCAGGUGGGGAGGGGACCCCAGAUCUCAGACGCCAGGGGAGACGGCGUUUCCCGCUGUUCAUUCAGGUUUGUGCCAAAAGGAGCCUCACAGAUGCAGUAUUGGGUUUGGUAGACUCAAAUCGUCUUGUUUUAAUGUAAAUGAAAGUAAGUUUAGGAUAAAUUCCAGUGCGGCGGGGGCAGGCAAGGCUACCCACAUUUUUUAAAAAGAAGCCAGCCCGUAUUUUUCUCCCUUUCCAAAUCCUCCGCCCCCCAGUCCUUCGACCCAGGCACGAGCGCCCAUCGCGGAGGCCACGAUGCCCGUUUUAUUCCCUCUCCACGGCAAGGAAAAGCAGCGAAAUCUGAGGUCUUCAGAGGUUAACCCUAUCUAGGAGCAGAAUGUGACGCAUUGUAAACAAAUAAAUAUUGAAAACUCGAUGUUAAACACUUUA
rnacentral:lncRNA from 1 species